rnacentral:rRNA from 1 species
GAUGAACGCUAGCGGCAGGCCUAACACAUGCAAGUCGAGGGAGAAGCCCUUUCGGGGGCAGAAACCGGCGCACGGGUGCGUAACGCGUAUGCAACCUACCUUUCACAGGGGGAUAGCCCGAAGAAAUUUGGAUUAAUACCCCAUAAUAUUGUUGGAUGGCAUCAUUUGGCAAUUAAAAAUGCGGUGGUGAAAGAUGGGCAUGCGUCCUAUUAGCUAGUUGGAGUGGUAACGGCACCCCAAGGCUACGAUAGGUAGGGGUCCGGAGAGGGAGAUCCCCCACACUGGUACUGAGACAGGGACCAGACUCCUACGGGAGGCAGCAGUGAGGAAGAUUGGUAAAUGGGCGGAAGACUGAACCGGCCAUGCCGCGUGCAGGAAGAAUGCCUUAUGGGUUGUAAACUGCUGUUAAAUGGGAAGAAUAAGGCGUACGUGUACGUUGAUGACGGUACCAGAUGAAUAAGCAUCGGCUAACUCCGUG